rnacentral:rRNA from 1 species
CAGCCGCCGCGGGAAUACGAAGGGGGCUAGCGUUGCUCGGAAUGACUGGGCGUAAAGGGCGCGUAGGCGGAUUGUUUAGUUUGGCGUGAAAGCCCUGGGCUCAACCCGGGAACUGCGCUUGAUACUGGUGCGCUUGAAUCCAGGAGAGGUUGGUGGAAUCCCCAGUAUAGAGGUGAAAUUCGUAGAUAUGCGGAGGAACACCGAUGGCGAAGGCAAUCCCCUGGACCUGUACUGACGCUCAUGCACGAAAGCGUGGGGAGCAAACAGGAUUAGAUACCCGCGUAGUCCCUGUCUCUUAUAC